UCCCUUCGAGCAACGAGGCACGGCGUUGUUCGGCACUGGCUGCAAAAUAAUCACGAUUAUUCUUCAGGUUGAUACUAACUUGGUAAUGUUGCUGUUCCGAGACCCCGCUGCCGCUGCGGACGCCAUGGAGACCGUCAAGGCGCAGACUGUUGUGUGCCGCCUCUUCCAUGGGCGUCCACGCCAUGGAGCUCCUUAAGGUAUCUCUUAUGCCGUGUGUGUCCCG